AGUAGGGUCAGCUAAUAAAGCUAUCGGGCCCAUACCCCGAAAAUGACGGUUUAACUCCAUCCCCCACUA
rnacentral:tRNA from 1 species